rnacentral:misc_RNA from 1 species
AAUUCUCAACCUCAAAACCUUUGUGUUUCUGAGGCUUGGUCUUGAGGGUCUUGCAGGCUUUUUUACAAGUCGGCUCCCUUUAAAUUCAUUAGCGAGACUUCCCUUUGUUUGAGCCGUCUCAUUGGCAUGAUAAUUAUCUGUGUCGACGUUGGUUCUCGUUGGGCUUGCUUCUAAUCGUCUGUACGGACAACAGGAAUUUGGGUGCAUAUAUGCGCACAUUUUCCAAACCU